UCCUAACUUCAUCGCCACUCCUCCUUCUUUAAGUUCAGACCCAAAUCCCUCAAUCAGCAAACCAGCUCCGCAGUCAACCGAAGUCUCCAUCUCGUGAGUCAUAACAAUACCCCCCGCCUGAGAUGAUCCUUGCCCACAAGGAUCGAAAGUUGGAAACUUGCGACGAAUAAACGCAACAUCUUCCCAAGUAGCCAAAUUGGGAUCUUGGUUCUGCCACUGAACCAAAAUCUGAGGAAAAUCGAUUCCACUCCUCGUCUGAACACGGUGGGCCAGCACCGCAACGGGGUUGACCACACAACAACCAUCGUCAUUAACCUCAGGGAGAUCGGCAACAGGUACAAUUUCUCUGCCCAAACAUUUCUUGAGAAGAGAUACAUGAAAUACAAGGUGUAUUUUAGCAGAUUCAGGAAGGUCCAACCGGUAGGCCACUGAACCCACCCUCUGUAAAACUGUAUAGGGCCCAUAGUAUCGAGCAGAGAGUUUAAGAUUUCGGCGCAAGGACACCGAAGUCUGGCGGUAGGGUUGAAGCUUGAGGUAAACACGAUCUCCGACCUCAAAGCUGUGAUCUUGCCGUUUUAAAUCGGCAAAAAGUUUCAUUCUACUCUGGGCUUCCAUCAGAUUCUCCUUGAGUAGCUGAGUAAACUUUCGGCGUUCCUCGAUAACUUCCUUAGCCUCAACAUUAGUAAUAUCAGUAUAGGAACCCAAGCCUAAAUAAUUGGGUGGGUAACCAUAGAGAGCUUGAAACGGGGUGCACCUCAAUCCCGAAUGAUAAUUCGUAUUAUACCAAUAUUCGGCAAGGGAAAGCCACUUAAACCAUUGCUUGGGACUAGCACUCACCAUACAACGUAGGUAAUUUUCCACACACCGAUUCCAACGCUCAGUUUGACCAUCCGUUUGUGGGUGAUAGGCAGUAGAUAAAGCUAACUUAGUACCCAUUAAUUUGAAUAGUUCCUUCCAGAAAGAGCUAGUAAACACCUUAUCCCUAUCAGAAAUAAUAACCUCGGGAGAGCCAUGUAACUUGUAGACACAAUCCAAGAAUAACUUGGCAACGGAUUGAGCUGUAAAAGGGUGAGACAACCCAAUGAAAUGACCAUAUUUCGUAAAUCUGUCAAUCACCACCAAAAUUACAUUUUUCCCAAAAGAUUUGGGCAAUCCCUCCACAAAAUCCAUAGAAAUCUCUGCCCAAGCCUUGGUAGGAAUAGGUAGAGGUUGUAGCAAGCCUGGAUAAGCCCCAACAUCAGAUUUAUUCCUUUGGCAGGUGUCACAACUCUUGACCAGGGCCAAGACAUCUGCCUUCAUCUUUGGCCAGUAAAAGUAGUUCUUCAACCUCAUGUAAGUUCCCAAUAUGCCUGAAUGGCCCCCAUAAGCGGUGUUAUGCAUUUCUGUCAUCAAAGAUUCAUUUAGAUUAGGAUCAGAGCCUACCACGAUUCUUCCCUUGUAUCUGAGAAGUCCAGCCUCAAACUUGUAAUUCACCAAAGCAGUAGGGUCGGUGGUUUUGGUGGAUAGAAUGGUAGUAAUCUGGUCAUCAUCCUUAUAACUCUGCAUAAUCUGUUGAAUCCACAAAGGUGUGAUAGUGGAGAUUGUUGCACAGGUUUCCACCUCAGGAAUACACCUAGACAACGCAUCAGCCACCUUAUUAUCUACUCCUUUAGUGUACUGUAUUUCAUAGGUAAACCCAAGUAAUUUGGUGAGCCACCUCUGCUGUACGGGGUUAAUAGUUUUCUGGUCUAGUAAAUGCUUCAACGCCUGCUGAUCCGUUUUAAUAAUCAACUUUUGACCCUGUAAAUAAGACUUCCAUUUCUGGACAGCCAUCACCACUGCUAGGAACUCCCUUUCAUAGAUGGAUAGGGCCUGGUUCUUGGGACAAAGAACUUUACUCAUGAAAGCAAUAGGCCUGUUAUUUUGCAUAAGCACAGCUCCAACCCCAUAACCACUAGCAUCAGAUUCAAUAACAAAGGUUUGGGUAAAAUCAGGUAGAGCCAACACAGGAGCAGUAGACAUAGCUUCUUUCAACUUAAUGAAAGCAGCUUCAGCUUCAGGGUUCCACUUGAACCCAUCCUUUUGCAACAAUAAAGUGAGAGGCCUACUAAUUUGUCCGUACCCCUUUAUAAACUUCCUGUAAUAACCAGUUAAGCCCAGAAAACCCCGCAAUUGCUUCACAUUCUUGGGAAUAGGCCAAUUAACCAUGCUGGCAAUCUUGCUAGGGUCAGUGGAAACUCCUUCUCCUGUAAUAACAUGUCCCAAAUACUCAAUACUCCUCUGACCAAAUUGACAUUUACUCCUUUUAGCAAAGAGAGUGUGCCUUCUUAGUAUCAUGAGUACUUCCCUAAGAUGUAGCAGGUGCUCUUCCCAUGCCUUACUGUAAACCAAUAUGUCAUCAAAGAACACCAAAACAGUCUUUCGGAGGUGCUCACAGAAAACUAUAUUCAUCAAAGAUUGAAAGGUAGCAGGAGCAUUACACAACCCAAAAGGCAUCACUAAAAACUCAUAGUGUCCUUGGUGUGUGUUAAAAUGCAGUGAGAAACCUGUCAGCGGGAUUUACUAGGAUUUGAAAGUAUCCUGACCUCAAAUCCAAUUUAGAAAAGAAUUGAGCUCCAUGCAGCUCAUCCAGCAGCUCAUCUAUAAUGGGUAUAGGAUAAUCAUUCUUAACAGUGAGGGAAUUUAAAUACCUGUAGUCAACACACAUUCUCCAGGUUCCAUCCUUCUUUUUAACCAAUAUAACUGGAGCUGCAAAAGGACUUUUACUAUGCUGAAUUAUUCCAUCUCUGAGUAACUCACCAAUAAUUUUCUCAAUCUCUCCUUUGUGGUGGUGUGAUGAUCUAUAUGCAUGUUGUUGCUUAGGAACACUGUUGGGUUUCAAAGUGAUGUGGUGUUCUACCCCUCUUGCAGGUAGGAGACCUUGGGGCUCAGAGAACACAUCCCUGUAUUCUUCAAGAAUGGAAUCAAGCUCAGCAUUGGGUGGAUUCAGUUCCAGUUCCAUCAUAGAAGUAGUGGAAGGAGUUAUAAGGUAUAUUUCUUCAAUUUCAGUAAUAUUCUUGUGGAGUAAGGAGUGUAGUGCCUGGCCUGAAGUCACUUGGCAUUCUGUAACCCGGUUCACAGCCUGCAUUUUAACCCUUUUUCCACCCACAUGCACAGUACAAGUAACCUUCUUAUAAUCAAGUACAAUAGGACUACAAUGCUCCAGCCAAUCACUUCCCAAAAUAACAUCAUACCCUUCAUGUUCCAAUAACCGAAGAGGAUAUACAAAUUGAUGGCCUUGUACAUCCCAAGUGAAAUUACUGACCACCUGUGUACUCAUAAGGUGUUGGCCAUUUGCUACUUUAACCAGUAAAGGUGAUUCACUAGUGGUCAC
rnacentral:lncRNA from 1 species